UCUACGGGAGUCAGCAGUGAGGAAUAUUGGUCACUGGGCGGAAGCCUGAACCAGCCAAGUCGCGUGAGGGAAUAAGGCCCUACGGGUCGUAAACCUCUUUUGCCGGGGAGCAAGGGCGGGGACGUGUCCCGGCCCGGAGAGUACCCGGAGAAAAAGCAUCGGCUAACUCCGUGCCAGCAGCCGCGGUAAUACGUAGGGUGCGAGCGUUAAUCGGAAUUACUGGGCGUAAAGGGUGUGCAGGCGGUUUUGCAAGAUGGCUGUGAAAGCCCCGGGCUUAAACUGGGAAAGCCAUACAUAACUGCAAGACUAGAGUGCGUCAGAGGGGGGUGGAAUUCCAAGUGUAGCAGUGAAAUGCGUAGAUAUGUGGAAGAACACCGAUGGCGAAGGCAGCCCCCUGGGACGCAACUGACGCUCAUACACGAAAGCGUGGGGAGCAAACAGGAUUAGAUACCCCAGUAGUC
rnacentral:rRNA from 1 species